UGGUGGUCCUGUGUUGGCAGAGGUGGUGUGAUAUUAGUGGGGUUGCAGUUGCGUGGCCAUAGAAAGGAUUCAGAAAGGAGUUGUCAGAUAGUGGUUAUUGAUUCAUGAGUGUGAUGGUUGUGUGGUUUUUGUUGAAGGUUUUUGAAUGUGUUGUGAUGAUGAGCAUGAAGCUAUGGAAGGUGGAAACUCAUCAGGUGCUACCUAGUUUUCUGUUCGAUUCAUCAUCUUUCUCUUCCC
rnacentral:lncRNA from 1 species